GUUGCUGAAUGUGUGUGGGUGCUGUGUAUGUGUGUGGGUGCUGUGUAUGUCCACAGCACCCACACACAUACACAGCACCCACACACAUUCACAGCACCCACACACAUUCAC